GUUUUGAAUAUUACAAUCUUCAUUAACUUUAAAUAAUACUCCUAAAAUAUAUGACAAUCCCACUUAUUUAAAGAAGCACAACUUUUUAAAUCUAAAAUUUAAUCAUGCGUCAUAUUUAAAUUUUUUACUUACUGCGUCCUCUAACUAUGCGGAUACCAUAUCAAUAAUCUACUUUAUUAAAACAGAAGUACACUUAUAGAAUAACCCUAAAAUUACACAAUAUUUACAGCCAAAUACUAUUGAUAAUUAAAUUAAUCUCACAUUAAAAAUGAUUCUCUUUUCCACAUAUUUAUUGUUUUCCUAAAAUAACUCAAACGAACUACAAAGAA
rnacentral:lncRNA from 1 species